ACUCAAAUGAAUAGACGGGGGCCCGCACAAGCGGCGGAGCGUGCGGUUUAAUUCGACGCAACGCGCAAAACCUUACCGAGGCUUGACAUGGGGCUGCAGUCGCGGGAAACCGCGGCGCCUUCGAGGGUGCCCCACAGGUGCUGCAUGGCUGUCGUCAGCUCGUGCCGUGAGGUGUUGGGUUAAGUCCCGCAACGAGCGCAACCCCCGCGUCUAGUUGAAUUGAUCUAGACGGACUGCCGGCCGCAAACCGGAGGAAGGUGGGGAUGAUGUCAAGUCAGCAUGGCCCUUACGCCUCGGGCCACACGCACGCUACAAUGGCCGGGACAAUGGGUAGCCAAACCGCGAGGUGGAGCGAAUCCCCCAAACCCGGUCUCAGUUCGGAUCGCGGGCUGCAACUCGCCCGCGUGAAGGCGGAGUCGCUAGUAACCGCGGGUCAGCAUUACCGCGGUGAAUAUGUUCCCGGGCCUUGUACACACCGCCCGU
rnacentral:rRNA from 1 species